UACGUAGGGUGCGAGCGUUGUCCGGAAUUACUGAGCGUAAAGAGCUCGUAGGUGGUUUGUCGCGUUGUCCGUGAAAACUCACAACUCAAUUGUGGGCGUGCGGGCGAUACGGGCAGACUGGAGUACUGCAGGGGAGACUGGAAUUCCUGGUGUAGCGGUGGAAUGCGCAGAUAUCAGGAGGAACACCGGUGGCGAAGGCGGGUCUCUGGGCAGUAACUGACGCUGAGGAGCGAAAGCGUGGGGAGCGAACAGG
rnacentral:rRNA from 1 species